rfam:TPA: Bos taurus chromosome 4, whole genome shotgun sequence.
UCCCUGGUAGCUCAGCUGGUAAAGAAUCUGGCAUCAAAGCAGGAGACCCUGGUUCAUUUCCUGGCUUGGGAA